CAGUUUGGGGAAAAUAAACAUCUGACAUCACCUUUAUUUCAAGAGUGUGUGUACGUGGUGACAAUGAAGAUAUAAGAAUUGGAAAAGAAAUUUGAGAAGUUGAGAGUAAUAUAAAAGAUUGUUACUUAAAACAAUAAAUACAAAUAAAAGCUGCAUUGAAUAUUUAUAUCUUAAUCUCUUACUAACUAAAUGAAGUUAACAUAUUAAGUUUAAAUAUUCCUAAGCAGCAUCAAUGCCUAAGGAAAGAUUUAUGGUAAUGAAGUGUUGACAGUUUUUUGAAAUUGCUUAUGUAUAUGUUAGCUGACAUUAACAUAAGUAAAUUGCUUCUGUCUGGAAUUCACCUUGAAGCCA
rnacentral:lncRNA from 1 species